rnacentral:rRNA from 1 species
UACAGAGGGUCCAAGCGUUGUCCGGAAUCACUGGGUGUAAAGGGUGCGUAGGCGGGUUUGUAAGUCAGAGGUGAAAGCCCACGGCUCAACCGUGGAACUGCCUUUGAUACUGCAGGCCUUGAGUCCUGGAGAGGCUGCCGGAAUUCGUGGUGUAGCGGUGAAAUGCGUAGAUAUCACGAGGAACACCGGAUGCGUAGGCGGGCAGCUGGACAGGUACUGACGCUGAGGCACGAAAGCGUGGGGAGCGAACAGG